UACGUAGGGUGCGAGCGUUGUCCGGAAUUAUUGGGCGUAAAGAGCUCGUAGGCGGUGUGUCGCGUCGGCCGUGAAAACCUGCAGCUUAACUGUGGGCUUGCGGUCGAUACGGGCAUCACUGGAGUUCGGCAGGGGAGACUGGAAUUCCUGGUGUAGCGGUGGAAUGCGCAGAUAUCAGGAGGAACACCGGUGGGCGAAGGCGGGGUCUCUGGGCAGU
rnacentral:rRNA from 1 species